UCUUCUUUGGUCUAGUGGUCAGGAUACCUGCUUGUCAUCUUCAGGAUAAAACGCAGGUGGCCGGGGUUCGAUUCCCCGAAGAAGAG
rnacentral:tRNA from 1 species